GACAAGGGCAAGAAGGCUCUGGAGGUGGC
rnacentral:piRNA from 1 species